GUGCUCACUUCGGCAGCACAUACACUAAAAUUGUAACCGUGCAGAGAUUAGCGUGGCCCCUGUGCAAGGAUGACUCACAAGUUCGUGAAACGUUCUGUAUUUUU